GACGUAGGGGGCGAGCGUUGUCCGGAUUUAUUGGGCGUAAAGCGCACGUAGGUGGCCUGUUAAGUCGGGUGUGAAAUCCCUGGGCUCAACCCAGGAAGUGCACUCGAAACUGGCAGGCUUGAGUACUGAAGAGGGUCGCGGAAUUCCCGGUGUAGAGGUGAAAUUCGUAGAUAUCGGGAGGAACACCAGUGGCGAAGGCGGCGACCUGGGCAGAUACUGACACUGAGGUGCGAAAGCGUGGGGAGCAAACAGGG
rnacentral:rRNA from 1 species